rnacentral:rRNA from 1 species
UCGGGAAUUUUGGGCAAUGGGCGAAAGCCUGACCCAGCAACGCCGCGUGAAGGAUGAAGUUUUUCGGAAUGUAAACUUCGUAAGAAUAGGAAGAAUAAAUGACGGUACUAUUUGUAAGGUCCGGCUAACUACGUGCCAGCAGCCGCGGUAAUACGUAGGGACCAAGCGUUGUUCGGAUUUACUGGGCGUAAAGGGCGCGUAGGCGGCAAUUCAAGUCAGCUGUGAAAUCUCCGGGCUUAACUCGGAACGGUCAGCUGAUACUGCUUUGCUAGAGUGCAGAAAGGGCAAUCGGAAUUCUUGGUGUAGCGGUGAAAUGCGUAGAUAUCAAGAGGAACACCUGAGGCGAAGGCGGGUUGCUAGGCUGACACUGACGCUGAGGCGCGAAAGCUAGGGUAGCAAACGGG